rnacentral:rRNA from 1 species
UACAGAGGUCUCGAGCGUUAGGCGGAAUCACUGGGCUUAAAGCGUGUGUAGGUGGAUCGUUAAGUACCUUGUGAAAUCCCACGGCUUAACCGUGGAACUGCUUGGUAUACUGGCGGUCUUGAGCCAGCUAGGGGCUACCGGAACAAAUGGUGGAGCGGUGAAAUGCGUAGAUAUCCGGAGGAACACCGGUGGCGAAGGCGGCUUCCUGGACCGACACUGACGCUGAGGCGCGAAAGCCAGGGGAGCAAACGGG